rnacentral:misc_RNA from 1 species
UUGUUUUCUUUUGGUGUUUCUUCCAAGUGCCAUUUCCCUGAAGCUGAAGUGCAAAGUUAGUCCACAAAGUGGACCCAGGAUGUGCAACCGCCAACUGUUCUGUGCCAUCUUGAGGUAUUGUGACAGUAACAGCGCCUCCAUAUCCAGCCGGGUCAGCCCCGUACUGCCGGACGGCCUCCUUGGCAGCCCAAUUCUGCAAAUUGGGAUCGAAAUAGUACCCAGAAGCAUCAGCUUGUACAUAAGAGAGGGCGUUGGGUUGUGAGAAAGAGAUCAGGGAGGGAUACGAGUCCACUCCAGGUGGUCUGAGAGCGGUGGUGGCGGAGGAAUCAUUAUAGACAUGAUGGAGUUGUUGGAGAGGGAAUUGAGUAUUAGGGUUUUGGGAAUAAUAAGAGUAAUAAGGGUCAGUGGGUGGUGGAAUAGGGUUGGGAUUCAUUUCAAGGCGGAGGUUGAAGUCCUGAAAUUUUCACAUAUAUAAUAAUAAAUCAGAGCAGAAGGACGGAGAUAUUGUUGGCU